rnacentral:rRNA from 1 species
GCUAAUACAUGCAAGUCGAGCGAAUGGAUUAAGAGCUUGCUCUUAUGAAGUUAGCGGCGGACGGGUGAGUAACACGUGGGUAACCUGCCCAUAAGACUGGGAUAACUCCGGGAAACCGGGGCUAAUACCGGAUAACAUUUUGAACCGCAUGGUUCGAAAUUGAAAGGCGGCUUCGGCUGUCACUUAUGGAUGGACCCGCGUCGCAUUAGCUAGUUGGUGAGGUAACGGCUCACCAAGGCAACGAUGCGUAGCCGACCUGAGAGGGUGAUCGGCCACACUGGGACUGAGACACGGCCCAGACUCCUACGGGAGGCAGCAGUAGGGAAUCUUCCGCAAUGGACGAAAGUCUGACGGAGCAACGCCGCGUGAGUGAUGAAGGCUUUCGGGUCGUAAAACUCUGUUGUUAGGGAAGAACAAGUGCUAGUUGAAUAAGCUGGCACCUUGACGGUACCUAACCAGAAAGCCACGGCUAACUACGUGCCAGCAGCCGCGGUAAUACGUAGGUGGCAAGCGUUAUCCGGAAUUAUUGGGCGUAAAGCGCGCGCAGGUGGUUUCUUAAGUCUGAUGUGAAAGCCCACGGCUCAACCGUGGAGGGUCAUUGGAAACUGGGAGACUUGAGUGCAGAAGAGGAAAGUGGAAUUCCAUGUGUAGCGGUGAAAUGCGUAGAGAUAUGGAGGAACACCAGUGGCGAAGGCGACUUUCUGGUCUGUAACUGACACUGAGGCGCGAAAGC